rnacentral:rRNA from 1 species
UACGUAGGGUGCGAGCGUUAAUCGGAAUUACUGGGCGUAAAGCGUGCGCAGGCGGUUUUGUAAGCCAGGUGUGAAAUCCCCGGGCUCAACCUGGGAACUGCAUUUGGGACUACAAGGCUAGAGUGUGUCAGAGGGGGGUAGAAUUCCACGUGUAGCAGUGAAAUGCGUAGAGAUGUGGAGGAACACCGAUGGCGAAGGCAGCCCCCUGGGCCAGUACUGACGCUCAUGCACGAAAGCGUGGGGAGCAAACAGG